UGCCAGCAGCCGCGUUAAUACGGAGGGUGCCAGGCGUUAAUCGGAAUUACUGGGCGUAAAGCGCACGCUGGCGGUUUGUUAAGUCAGAUGUUGAAUUCCCCGGCUCAACCCUGGGAACUUGCAUUUGAAACUGGCAAGCUAGAGUCUCGUAGAGGGGGGUAGAAUUCCAGGUGUAGCGGUGAAAUGCGUAGAGAUCUGGAGGAAUACCGGUGGCGAAGGCGGCCCCCUGGACGAAGACUGACGCUCAGGUGCGAAAGCGUGGGGAGCAAACAGGAUUAGAUACCCUGGUAGUCCACGCUGUAAACGAUGUCGAUUUGGAGGUUGUGCCCUUGAGGCGUGGCUUCCGGAGCUAACGCGUUAAAUCGACCGCCUGGGGAGUACGGCCGCAAGGUUAAAACUCAAAUGAAUUGACGGGGGCCCGCACAAGCGGUGGAGCAUGUGGUUUAAUUCGAUGCAACGCGAAGAACCUUACCUACUCUUGACAUCCAGAGAACUUUCCAGAGAUGGAUUGGUGCCUUCGGGAACUCUGAGACAGGUGCUGCAUGGCUGUCGUCAGCUCGUGUUGUGAAAUGUUGGGUUAAGUCCCGCAACGAGCGCAACCCUUAUCCUUUGUUGCCAGCGGUUCGGCCGGGAACUCAAAGGAGACUGCCAGUGAUAAACUGGAGGAAGGUGGGGAUGACGUCAAGUCAUCAUGGCCCUUACGAGUAGGGCUACACACGUGCUACAAUGGCGUAUACAAAGAGAAGCGACCUCGCGAGAGCAAGCGGACCUCAUAAAGUACGUCGUAGUCCGGAUUGGAGUCUGCAACUCGACUCCAUGAAGUCGGAAUCGCUAGUAAUCGUAGAUCAGAAUGCUACGGUGAAUACGUUCCCGGGCCUUGUACACACCGCCCGUCACACCAUGGGAGUGGGUUGCAAAAGAAGUAGGUAGGGUGACCUUCCCCCCUGAGAUUUUCUCCGGGGACAGAGCGGGGGGAGCACAUCUCUUGAGAGUGCUUCC
rnacentral:rRNA from 1 species